rnacentral:misc_RNA from 1 species
UUGAAGCUGUAGAUAUUGAAAUUGCAGGACCAUUCUGGUUUGGAGAACUGUCCAAGGACUUGAAACUUUUAGUCUGAUUAUCAUUAACUGAACCCUUCUCUUGCAGCACUGAUUUUGAAGCUGAAUUUUCAUUCUGUUCGCUCUUGCUAGUUUUGUCCUCUGAUCCAUUCCGUUCUUGCUCCUUAAUUUCCUCCAAGUACAUUUCUUCUACCAUUGGCUUCCAAAGCCGAACUCGAGCAUUUAUGAACCAAUUAGACACCUGGCUCCUAGUGAGCCCUGUCUGUUUGGCCAGCAUGUGCUUAUCAGAAUCUUUAGGAUAAGGGUGGAGAAAGUGAUCGAAAAGCCAGGCACGAAGAACUGAAACUGAUCUUUCUGGCAAUCCUCUCUGGGGUCUCCAAGCAUUGUGCUGGAUCAUUCCCAACUGUUGAAGUGCUCGUUGUUGUCGAAGGUGAUGAUCGACGAAUUUGAGCCUUGAACCUUCGAGCUUUCCUCCAAGGCAAUCUUCUUCACCUAGGCUCUUGUUUGCUGCUUUAAUUUGACCUGUUAUUGCAUCUUUUAAGCACCGGAAUUGCUUGGAGAUGGUUUGCAGUGCAAGAGCUGUGUAUGUCUUUGCAGAACCAAUUCCUGCAGCUUGUUCAAAUGACGAAAUCACUAUCUGCAUCUG